rnacentral:tRNA from 1 species
GGGGUUGUAGCUCAGUGGUUGAGUGCUUUCCUAGCAUGCAUGAGGCACUGGGUUCAAUCCUCAGCACCACA